rnacentral:rRNA from 1 species
AGUGAACGCUGGCGGUAGGUCUAACACAUGCAAGUCGAACGGCAGCACAGUAAGAGCUUGCUCUUACGGGUGGCGAGUGGCGGACGGGUGAGGAAUACAUCGGAAUCUACUUUUUCGUGGGGGAUAACGUAGGGAAACUUACGCUAAUACCGCAUACGACCUACGGGUGAAAGCAGGGGAUCUUCGGACCUUGCGCGAUUGAAUGAGCCGAUGUCGGAUUAGCUAGUUGGCGGGGUAAAGGCCCACCAAGGCGACGAUCCGUAGCUGGUCUGAGAGGAUGAUCAGCCACACUGGAACUGAGACACGGUCCAGACUCCUACGGGAGGCAGCAGUGGGGAAUAUUGGACAAUGGGCGCAAGCCUGAUCCAGCCAUACCGCGUGGGUGAAGAAGGCCUUCGGGUUGUAAAGCCCCUUUGUUGGGAAAGAAAAGCAGCAGGUUAAUACCCCGCUGUUCUGACGGUACCCAAAGAAUAAGCACCGGCUAACUUCGUG